rnacentral:rRNA from 1 species
GUCGCAUGCUUCCGGGCGCCAUGGAGGCCGCGGGAAUUCGAUUAGAGUUUGAUCAUGGCUCAGAUUGAACGCUGGCGGCAUGCCUAACACAUGCAAGUCGAACGGCAGCACAGUAAAGAUUUCGGUCUUUAUGGGGUGGCGAGUGGCGGACGGGUGAGUAACACGUAGGAAUCUGUCCUGGAGCGUGGGAUAACCCGAGGAAACUCGGGCUAAUACCACAUGAUAUCGAGAGAUCAAAAGCAGGGGACCGAAAGGCCUUGCGCUCUGGGGUGAGCCUACGUCGGAUUAGCUAGUUGGUGGGGUAAAAGCCUACCAAGGCGACGAUCCGUAGCUGGUCUGAGAGGAUGACCAGCCACACUGGGACUGAGACACGGCCCAGACUCCUACGGGAGGCAGCAGUGGGGAAUCUUGGACAAUGGGGGAAACCCUGAUCCAGCGAUGCCGCGUGUGUGAAGAAGGCCUUCGGGUUGUAAAGCACUUUAGGUGGGGAAGAAAGGUAACGAGCGAAUAACUCGUUGCUAUGACGGUACCCGCAGAAUAAGCACCGGCUAACUCUGUGCCAGCAGCCGCGGUAAUACGAAUCACUAGUGAAUUCGCGGCCGCCUGCAGGUCGACCAUAUGGGAGAGCUCCCAA